rnacentral:rRNA from 1 species
AAUCGGAAUAUUUGUCAAUGGGCGAAAGCUUGAACAAGCAAUGCCGCGUGAGCGAUGAAGUCUUUCGGGAUGUAAAGCUCUGUGUUACGGGACGAAAACCUGUCGUGUGAACAACAUGACAAUUUGACGGUACCGUAAUAGAAAGCCACGGCUAACUACGUGCCAGCAGCCGCGGUGAUACGUAGGUGGCAAGCGUUGUUCGGAAUUACUGGGCGUAAAGGGCGUACAGGCGGCUUUGUAAGUCGGAUGUGAAAUCCUUGGGCUUAACCUGAGAACUGCAUUCGAUACUGCUUGGCUUGAGGUCAGGAGAGGAAAGCGGAAUAUGUGGUGUAGCGGUGAAAUGCUUAGAUAUCACAUAGAACACCGGUGGCGAAGGCGGCUUUCUGGUCUGACUCUGACGCUGACGCGCGAAAGCUAGGGGAGCGAACGGGAUUAGAAACCCUAGUAGUCC